rnacentral:rRNA from 1 species
CCUACGGGAGGCUGCAGUGGGGAAUAUUGGACAAUGGGCGAAAGCCUGAUCCAGCCAUGCCGCGUGUGUGAAGAAGGCCUUCGGGUUGUAAAGCACUUUCAGUGGGGAAGAAAGCCUUGGGGCUAAUACCCUCGAGGAAGGACAUCACCCACAGAAGAAGCACCGGCUAACUCCGUGCCAGCAGCCGCGGUAAUACGGAGGGUGCGAGCGUUAAUCGGAAUUACUGGGCGUAAAGCGCGCGUAGGCGGUCUGAUAAGCCGGUUGUGAAAGCCCCGGGCUCAACCUGGGAACGGCAUCCGGAACUGUCAGGCUAGAGUGCAGGAGAGGAAGGUAGAAUUCCCGGUGUAGCGGUGAAAUGCGUAGAGAUCGGGAGGAAUACCAGUGGCGAAGUCGGCCUUCUGGACUGACACUGACGCUGAGGUGCGAAAGCGUGGGUAGCAAACAGGAUUAGAUACCCCAGUAGUC